rnacentral:rRNA from 1 species
UACGGAGGGGGCGAGCGUUGUCCGAAGUUACUGGGCGUAAAGCGCGCGUAGGCGGGUUGGCAAGUCCGCUGUGAAAGCCUGCGGCUUAACCGCAGAGGGUCGGUGGAGACUGCCAAUCUUGAAGGUGCUAGGGAGAGAUGGAAUUACCGGUGUAGCGGUGAAAUGCGUAGAUAUCGGGAGGAACACCUGUGGCGAAAGCGGCUCACUGGACCACAACUGACGCUGAGGCGCGAAAGCUAGGGGAGCAAACAGG